rnacentral:rRNA from 1 species
UACGGAGGAUGCAAGCGUUAUCCGGAAUGAUUGGGCGUAAAGCGUCCGCAGGUGGCUAUGUAAGUCUGCUGUUAAAGAGUGAGGCUCAACCUCAUAAGAGCAGUGGAAACUACAUGGCUAGAGUGCGUUCGGGGCAGAGGGAAUUCCUGGUGUAGCGGUGAAAUGCGUAGAUAUCAGGAAGAACACCGGUGGCGAAAGCGCUCUGCUAGACCUGUACUGACACUGAGGGACGAAAGCUAGGGGAGCGAAUGGG